rnacentral:rRNA from 1 species
UACGUAGGGUGCGAGCGUUAAUCGGAAUUACUGGGCGUAAAGCGUGCGCAGGCGGUAAUGUAAGACAGAUGUGAAAUCCCCGGGCUCAACCUGGGACCUGCAUUUGUGACUGCAUUGCUGGAGUGCGGCAGAGGGGGGUAGAAUUCCACGUGUAGCAGUGAAAUGCGUAGAGAUGUGGAGGAAUACCGAUGGCGAAGGCAGCCCCCUGGGCCAAUACUGACGCUACAUGCACGAAAGCGUGGGGAGCAAACAGG